rnacentral:rRNA from 1 species
UACAGAGGGGGCGAGCGUUGUUCGGAAUUACGGGGCGUAAAGGGCGCGUAGGCGGCCUGCUAAGUCGGACGUGAAAUCCCCUGGCUCAACCAGGGAACUGCGUCCGAUACUGGCGGGCUUGAAUCCGGGAGAGGGAUGCGGAAUUCCAGGUGUAGCGGUGAAAUGCGUAGAUAUCUGGAGGAACACCGGUGGCGAAGGCGGCAUCCUGGACCGGUAUUGACGCUGAGGCGCGAAAGCCAGGGGAGCAAACGGG